rnacentral:lncRNA from 1 species
CGAGAGGAACCGUUGAUUCGCACAUUGGUCAUCGCGCUUGGUUGAAAAGCCAGUGGCGCGAAGCUACCGUGCGCUGGAUUAUGACUGAACGCCUCUAAGUCAGAAUCCGGGCUAGAGCGACGCGUGCGCCCGCCGCCCGUUUGCCGACCCGCAGUAGGGACCUCCCGGUCCCCAGAGGCACGUGUCGUAGGCCAAGCCCCCGCGGCGGAAGGGCCGCGGCGGCCGCCUUGAAUCGUAAUUCCCAUCGAGCGGCGGGUAGAAUCCUUUGCAGACGACUUAAAUACGCGACGGGGUAUUGUAAGUGGCAGAGUGGCCUUGCUGCCACGAUCCACUGAGAUUCAGCCCUACGUCGCUCAGAUUCGUCCCUCCCCCCUCACUCGCACCGUCUUCUCUUGUUCGGAACCCGUCGGAGGUUAGCCCCCUGCGGCGCACACACCCGCACGGACUGCCCCCGCCCAAGGCUCGGAGUGGACUUGUGUUUUUUCACGAGGCGGCUGGCACAAAGGCAGCACACUUGCUCCAAUGCCUGAGGCUAACUCUGGCACAAAGACUUGUGUGAUGGCUCCGAAAGGAGGCUAACUCGGGGCUUGUGUUUUUUCAUGAGCCUAACGCUCCGCGAAAUCUAAGUGGCUGGCACAAAGGCGAAAUUUGGCCAAAGAGCCUGUGGCUAACUCCAACCAACGUCGACAAUAUCAGCCAAAAAUGGCCAUAAAACGAGUUCCGGAGCUCGGAAUCGGCUUCCGUUUUCUCCUGCGGCUAACUCCCACCAACAUCGUCUCCCGCAUUAUUUUUCCCGUUUCGUCGAGAGGGGUUGCGAUACUUGCCCCCUCGGGAGGCCCCCCGCCCGGUUCUGCCACAAUCGGACCAAUUCUCGGCCACGUUUCGGCGUUCGGUAAAUUGGCCAUAAAACGGGAUCCGGACCUCGGAAUCGACUUCCGUCUCCUCCGACGGUUAACGCCCGCACAUAUCUACAAUGCCGGCCAAAAAUCCCCUCCCGCCCCGAAAACGCGAAAUUUGGGCAAAAUCCGUGUGCUAUAUAUAGCCCACGGUUUUUGGCCAUUUUUGCCCAAAAUUUGGGACACGGAGCUCCGGCAUAAUUUCCCCCACUUUUUGGUCCCAUGAGAUAAUACGGCACCUCCUAAAAUUUCAGCCCAUCCCGGUGCCGUUUACUACUACUUCCGAGUUUUUGUGUCCCGGUUUCUCCAUUUUGGACGAUUUUUAAAACAAUUUUCCAGCGGCAAAAAAAAUUGUUCCCUAACCCCGCCAUCCCAUGUUCUGCGUCCGCGCAAAAAAUCUAGGCCUUCAAAACAAGUCGGACGCUUGUCCACUGCCCGUGGUAGUUUCCCGCCCGCCACCUGCGAGGGAAGUGCCGACGGGCACGAACAAGCCUGGGCGAGCGAGGGUGCUGUGCCUGCCCCGCGAGGGUGCCGUGCGCGGCCUGCUCUCAAGCGCGCGCUGCCUGCCCCGCGACCCUGCGCUGCUUGCCUCGCCAGCGUGGGCAGCUUGCCGCGCGAGCCUGGGCUGCAUCCUUGCCCGCGAGCGUGCGCUGCUCGCGCCGCCUGCCGCGCGCGGGCGAGCUGUGCCUGUUCCUCGCGAGUGGUGAAGCAUGGCCUGCUCGGGCAUCCGCAGCCUCGCGCGCGAGCGGGAUGGUGCCGCGCGAGAGUGCCCCGCCUUGCCGCGCGAGCGUGGGCAGCCUCGCCCGCGAGAGUUCGAUGCCCUGGCGCGGAAGCGUGGGCAGCCUCGCGUGCGAGAGUGCCCAGCCUUGCCAAGCGAGCGAGCACAGCCUCGCGGGCGGAACUGGCCAGGGCCUUGUCGUGCCAUUUCUCGCACUAACGGAGGUGAGCAUGUGGGAACCGCGCUGGCUUGCUUGCUUGCUGCGCGAGAUGGUGCCGCGCGCUCGCUUGCUUGCUGCGCGCGAUGGUGCCGCGCGCUCGCUUGCUUGCUGCGCCCGAUGGUGCCGCGCGCUGGCUUGCUUGCUGCGCCCGAUGGUGCCGCGCGCUGGCUUGCUUGCUGCGCGCGAUGGUGCCGCGCGCUGGCUUGCUUGCUGCGCGCGAUGGUUGCUUGCUGCGCGCGAUGGUGCCGCGCGCUGGCUUGCUUGCUGCGCGGUGCCGCGCGCUGGCUUGCUUGCUGCGCGCGAUGGUUGCUUGCUGCGCUUGCUUGCUGCGCGCGAUGGUGCCGCGCGCUGGCUUGCUUGCUGCGCCCGAUGGUGCCGCGCGCGAUGGUGCCGCGCGCGAUGGUGCCGCGCGCUCGCUUGCUUGCUGCGCCCGAUGGUGCCGCGCGCUGGCUUGCUUGCUGCGCGCGAUGGAGCCGCGCGAUGGUGCCGUGCGCGGGCGCGCUGGCUGCGCGCUUCCGCUGGUCAUUUCUCGCACGAAGGGAGGUUAGCUGUGCGGGAAAUGGCCUUCCAAUGCCCACGUGCCGAUGCGGCUAAAAAUACCUCUUUUUGCACUCCAAUUUUUUUUUCUUUCUCUUGAAAAAUUCUUCAUAUUUUUCUUGACCAUGA